AUUGAACGCUGGCGGCAGGCCUAACACAUGCAAGUCGAACGAGUGGCGGACGGGUGGGUAAUGUCUGUGAAACUGCCUGAUGGAGGGGGAUAAGUACCGGAAACGGUAGCUAAUAACGCCUACCAUAGGCUGGGCCCCGUUGGGAUUUGCUUGUUGGUGGGGUAAAGGCUGACCAAGGCGACGAACCCUAGCUGGUCUGAGAGGAUGACCAGCCACACUGGAACUGAGACACGGUCCAGACUCCUACGGGAGGCAGCAGUGGGGAAUAUUGGACAAUGGGCGCAAGCCUGAUGCAGCCAUGCCGCGUGUAUGAAGAAGGCCUUCGGGUUGUAAAGUACUUUAAGCGGGGAGGCGUUACCAACAGAAUAAGCACCGGCUAACUUCGUGCCAGCAGCCGCGGUAAUAC
rnacentral:rRNA from 1 species